rnacentral:rRNA from 1 species
GACGAACGCUGGCGGCGUGCUUAACACAUGCCAGUCGUACGGUAAGGCCCUUUCUGGGGUACACGAGUGGCGAACGGGCGAGUAACACGUGAGUAACCUGCCCACAACUUUGGGAUAACGCUCGGAAACUGGCUCUAAUACUUGAUAUGUGCUCCUGCCGCAUGGUGGGGGUUGGAAAGCUCCGGCGGUUGUGGAUGGAUUCGCGGCCUGACAGCUUGGUGGUGGGGUAGUGGCCUACCAAGGCGGGGUCGGGUAGCCGGCCUGGGUGGGUGACCGGCCAAAUUGGGACUGGAGAACGGCCCAGACCCCUACGGGGGGGAGCAGUGGGGGAUAUUGCCCAAUGGGCGGAAGCCUGAUGCAGCAACGCCGCGUGCGGGGUGACGGCCUUCGGGUUGGAAACCGGUUUCAGCAGGGACGAAGCUGUUUGUGACGGUACCUGCAGAAGAAGCACCGGCUAACUACGUG